ACGUAGGGCGCAAGCGUUGCUCGGAUUUACUGGGCGUAAAGGGUCCGUAGGCGGGACUGUAAGUCGGGUGUGAAAUUUCGGAGCUUAACUCCGAAGCUGCGCUCGAUACUGCAGCCCUAGAGUACAGAAGAGGAGAGUGGAAUUCCCGGUGUAGCGGUGGAAUGCGUAGAUAUCGGGAGGAAUAUCGAUGGCGCAGGCAGCUCUCUGGUCUGUAACUGACGCUGAGGGACGAAAGCGUGGGAAGCAAACAG
rnacentral:rRNA from 1 species